rnacentral:lncRNA from 1 species
CUGGGUUCGAACAGACAGUUCCCCACAGUGAGACCCUGGCUGAGGUCACGGGACCAUCUGUAGCUCUGUUUGGGCAUUUACAGUAAAUGGUAACUUCUGCCUUGCAGGUUAUUGUGAGGAGGAAAUGGAUGUUACAAGCCUGGGCAUUGUGAUGACGGGGCACGCUGCAAGACUGACUAUGUGGCAUCUCUUCAGGCUGGGGCCUUGGGGAGGAUGUUUCCCUAGAACAUCCUUGCCUCCUGCCAGGCCUUCUUCUGGGCAGGGACAACAACCAGACUUUGAAAUUCCUACCCUUGAUGAAGCUCAGAGAGUGCUCACCGGGGCAGUGGCCGGAUGCCCAGCGCGUCGCCUUCCUUGUCAGUCAGUUCGCCCUUCCUAGACGUUGGUCACGGCAGAUCCUUACCGGCUUCAGCCAGCUCAGCUGGAACCUCCUGAGUGUUUGCCAAAAUCUCUUCGCCCCAUCUCUGGCCCGGUGACAUCCCUGUGUUCGGAAUUCCUUGUUGUAGCAGAGCUC